rnacentral:rRNA from 1 species
AUGGUUGUCGUCAGCUCGUGUCGUGAGAUGUUGGGUUAAGUCCCGGCAACCGAGCGCAACCCCUACGUUAGUUGCUAACAGGUGAAGCUGAGCACUCUAGACGAACUGCCGUUGACAAAACGGAGGAAGGUGGGAUGACGUCAAAUCAUCAUGCCCCUUAUGUUCUGGGCUACACACGUGCUACAAUGGCCGGUACAGACGGAGGCGAAGCCGCGAGGCGGAGCAAAUCCGAAAAAGCCGGUCUCAGUUCGGAUUGCAGGCUGCAAUUCGCCUGCAUGAAGUCGGAAUCGCUAGUAAUCGCAGGUCAGCAUACUGCGGUCGAAUACGUUCCCGGGCCUU